rnacentral:tRNA from 1 species
GGUCGUUAGCUCAGUUGGUAGAGCAGUUGACUUUUAAUCAAUUGGUCGCAGGUUCGAAUCCCGCACGACCACCA